AAUACUAUCUAACAAGCUUGUACACGUUAGAACAGAUUUUCAUUAUAAACACCACCAAGGGGAGUCAUCAAGAGCUGCGUGUAACUGACAACCGUGUUGCUCUCUUGAAGCUCCACAUUUGCUCUUUUAUCGCCAUCAUCCUUCUCCACUCUCACUUGAGGCUGUCCACCAUCAUCCUUCUCCACUCUCACUUGAGGCUGUCCACCAUCAUUUUUCUUUUGCUGCUGCCAUGAAAGUUUCAGUAUUUAGUUUACAACGAGUGGCAACAAUAUAACAUGUAUAGUUUGGAACAUACCUUUGCUCCCUUUUUUUUGACGAGGCAACUUUAGUUGGCUUGCGCUUCCCCUUGAGUAACUUAUCAAGCCAGCCUUUCUUUCUCCUCAAAUUUUUUGAUGCAACCUCUUUUUUCUUGAGCUUUGCUGCACUAAGAAACUCACUAGUUAGUUGCACAUUUGGGUCAACAUUUUCU
rnacentral:lncRNA from 1 species